rnacentral:rRNA from 1 species
CGCCCGCCGCGCGCGGCGGGCGGGGCGCGGGCACGGGGGGCCUACGGGAGGCAGCAGUAGGGAAUCUUCCGCAAUGGACGAAAGUCUGACGGAGCAACGCCGCGUGAGUGAUGAAGGUUUUCGGAUCGUAAAGCUCUGUUGUUAGGGAAGAACAAGUGCGAGAGUAACUGCUCGCACCUUGACGGUACCUAACCAGAAAACCCCGGCUAACUUCGUGCCAGCAGCCGCGGUAAUACGUAGGUGGCAAGCGUUGUCCGGAAUUAUUGGGCGUAAAGGGCUCGCAGGCGGUUUCUUAAGUUUGAUGUGAAAGCCCCCGGCUCAACCGGGGAGGGUCAUUGGAAACUGGGAAACUUGAGUGCAGAAGAGGAGAGUGGAAUUCCACGUGUAGCGGUGAAAUGCGUAGAGAUGUGGAGGAACACCAGUGGCGAAGGCGACUCUCUGGUCUGUAACUGACGCUGAGGAGCGAAAGCGUGGGGAGCGAACAGGAUUAGAUACCCUGGUAGUCCACGCCGUAAACGAUGAGUGCUAAGUGUUAGGGGGUUUCCGCCCCUUAGUGCUGCAGCUAACGCAUUAAGCACUCCGCCUGGAGUACCGUUAAG